rnacentral:lncRNA from 1 species
UGGCGAUUAAAGGUUUAUAAUACAUUAAAAUGAAAUGAAGAACUAUUUACAAUUUUAUUUUUUUGAUAAUAAACUUGUACAUGAACAAUUUAUAAACAUAAUUGGCUAUGUAUCAUCAGGUGCACCACAUAAUUAAGUAGUACGUGAUGAUCAUAAAACUCGAUCAAUCCGAUUCUAAAUCGACCGGCUAUCAUUUUCUUACAUGAUAUUAUAUUUGUAAUUAUCUAUAAAUUAGCACUCUAGAUAUCAUUAAUAAAGUAAAAUUAUCUGAAAAUGAAACUGUAUUUACUAUUCAACCUCCCUCCCCAGCUAGCUAGCAAUAGUUGCAGAAGAUUGUGUGAACGUAUAUUUACUAUUUGUAUAGAAGUGAAUUUGGGCCUUUGGGCUAAGAAGCAAAGCCGUGGUGUGAGAUGGGUCAUUGUCGCCGUGGCGGCCGGGGCAAAUUUUCUUACACGAAGGGCAAACCGUAAGACCGGCUACCGGAAGCGGCUUANNNNNNNNNNNNNNNNNNAUUAAAUUGUUCUGCCGUUGUUUUCAUCGAUUUCAACUCUUUCAAUUCCUCUUCCAACAUCUUGUUCUCUUCUGUUAGAGUUUCGUAACAUUUCUUCAGUUCUUCGCAGUCCACUUCCGUUUGUUUCAAUUUUGUCCUGCAUAUUCAUAACAAUUCCGUUAUUAGGUGACAUAACAAACAAUCGAGAAGAAAG